rnacentral:miRNA from 1 species
UGGCUCUGAUUUCCGCUUGUA